rnacentral:rRNA from 1 species
GACGAACUUUGGCGGCGUGCUUAACACAUGCAAGUCGAACGGAAAGGCCCUGCUUUUGUGGGGUGCUCGAGUGGCGAACGGGUGAGUAACACGUGAGUAACCUGCCCUUGACUUUGGGAUAACUUCAGGAAACUGGGGCUAAUACCGGAUAGGAGCUCCUGCUGCAUGGUGGGGGUUGGAAAGUUUCGGCGGUUGGGGAUGGACUCGCGGCUUAUCAGCUUGUUGGUGGGGUAGUGGCUUACCAAGGCUUUGACGGGUAGCCGGCCUGAGAGGGUGACCGGCCACAUUGGGACUGAGAUACGGCCCAGACUCCUACGGGAGGCAGCAGUGGGGAAUAUUGCACAAUGGGCGGAAGCCUGAUGCAGCAACGCCGCGUGCGGGAUGACGGCCUUCGGGUUGUAAACCGCUUUCGCCUGUGACGAAGCGUGAGUGACGGUAAUGGGUAAAGAAGCACCGGCUAACUACGUGCCAGCAGCCGCGGUGAUACGUAGGGUGCGAGCGUUGUCCGGAUUUAUUGGGGCGUAAGGGCUCGUAGGUGGUUGAUCGCGUCGGAAGUGUAAUCUUGGGGCUUAACCCUGAGCGUGCUUUCGAUACGGGUUGACUUGAGGAAGGUAGGGGAGAAUGGAAUUCCUGGUGGAGCGGUGGAAUGCGCAGAUAUCAGGAGGAACACCAGUGGCGAAGGCGGUUCUCUGGGCCUUUCCUGACGCUGAGGAGCGAAAGCGUGGGGAGCGAACAGGCUUAGAUACCCUGGUAGUCCACGCUGUAAACGGUGGGUACUAGGUGUGGGGUCCAUUCCACGGGUUCCGUGCCGUAGCUAACGCUUUAAGUACCCCGCCUGGGGAGUACGGCCGCAAGGCUAAAACUCAAAGGAAUUGACGGGGCCCCGCACAAGCGGCGGAGCAUGCGGAUUAAUUCGAUGCAACGCGUAGAACCUUACCUGGGUUUGACAUGGAUCGGGAGCGCUCAGAGAUGGGUGUGCCUCUUUUGGGGUCGGUUCACAGGUGGUGCAUGGCUGUCGUCAGCUCGUGUCGUGAGAUGUUGGGUUAAGUCCCGCAACGAGCGCAACCCUUGUUCACUGUUGCCAGCACGUUAUGGUGGGGACUCAGUGGAGACCGCCGGGGUCAACUCGGAGGAAGGUGGGGAUGACGUCAAGUCAUCAUGCCCCUUAUGUCCAGGGCUUCACGCAUGCUACAAUGGCUGGUACAGAGAGUGGCGAGCCUGUGAGGGUGAGCGAAUCUCGGAAAGCCGGUCUCAGUUCGGAUUGGGGUCUGCAACUCGACCUCAUGAAGUCGGAGUCGCUAGUAAUCGCAGAUCAGCAACGCUGCGGUGAAUACGUUCCCGGGGGCU